GACGAACGCUGGCGGCGUGCUUAACACAUGCAAGUCGAACGGUGAAGCGCCUUCCUUUUUGGUGGGUGUGGAUGAGUGGCCAACGGGUGAGUAACACGUGAGUAACCUGCUCCCUUUUUCUUGAUAACCGCAUGCAAGUGUUGCUACUACGUGAUAUUCUGGAUCUGUUGCAUGAUUGGUCUGGGAAAGUUUUUGUUUCGGUUAGGGAUGGGGCCGCGGCCUAUCAGCUUGUUGGUGAGGUGAUGGCCUACCAAGGCGGUGAGGAGUAGCCGGCCUGAGAGGGUGGACGGUAAUGAUAGUGAUGAGAGGCGGAGAAGACUACUACGGGAAGCAGCAGUGGGGAAUAUGGCACGAGGGGAGGAAGGAUGAAGCAGCGACGCGGGAGGGAGGAUGGAGGUCUUCGGGUUGAGAACCGCUAUCGCCAGUGAAGAAGGGCGGCCGCGUUUGUGCGUGGGUUGACGGUAGCUGGAUAAGAAGCGCCGGCUAACUACGUG
rnacentral:rRNA from 1 species